GACGAACGCUGGCGGCGUGCUUAACACAUGCAAGUCGAGCGGUAAGGCCCUUUCGGGGGUACACGAGCGGCGAACGGGUGAGUAACACGUGGGUGACCUGCCCUCAGCUCUGGGAUAAGCCUGGGAAACUGGGUCUAAUACCGGAUAUGACUCCAUGACGCAUGUUGUGGGGUGGAAAGCCUUGUGCGGCUGAGGAUGGGCCCGCGGCCUAUCAGCUUGUUGGUGGGGUGAUGGCCUACCAAGGCGACGACGGGUAGCCGGCCUGAGAGGGCGACCGGCCACACUGGGACUGAGACACGGCCCAGACUCCUACGGGAGGCAGCAGUGGGGAAUCUUGCGCAAUGGGCGAAAGCCUGACGCAGCGACGCCGCGUGAGGGAUGACGGCCUGUGUAA
rnacentral:rRNA from 1 species